CUUCUAGGCUCUUAUAGGCUCCAUGCAAGUCAUUACUCAUCACACAAAGCUCCCUCCAUUUCUUUACAAGAGAUGCAGCCUUCUCCCUGGGUAGGUCUUGAAUACACAUGCAGAAUGCCAGGGAGGUUGUUAGGGGUGGGACUGAGUCAAACUCCCAUAUGUGGAAUAGUAGUGGGUCUGUUUCCUGGAUGCACCCCACCCUUACCCACAGUAGAGAAGUAUCAUCUAUAUAGUCUGGGGAGCAGACUUGAAAAUAGUCUUCGGAUACCUGAAAGGCAAGUGAAAAUUAGGUCACAAUCCCAACCCACCCAAGGAGAUGCACAUCUCUUCUAGUUUCUCAACGGGCUGCCUACUGCACCACCACAAAUCAAUCCUAGUCCACCCUGCACAGGUUGAGUGUGCUAUAGAGAGUUUCAGCAGCGGACCUACAGGCUGGAAGGUCCUAAAUAGGGUGUGUGGCUACCAAAAUGGAUUUCUCCAGAUGAUAUACAGUGUGGUACCUUUGAAGCAGAUGAGUAGAAAAUGCUUGCUCCCUUUUCUCUUUUCUUUGUUUAUACUUUAUUAUACGUCUUAUUCACAUGCCAGAGCCACUUUGUCUCUUUUAGAUCAGCAGCUACCAGUACCGUUGGCUAUUUUAAGAUGUGAACAAUCCUGCACUGGCUGAAUUUCAGUCUUCAAUUUGUUGUAGGCUGCUGGAUUUUUAACCCUGCAGAACUAACUCAAGAUAUUCUCUGAUACUAUAUUAUUCUGAUUUUUGUGUUAACUUUCUGAAUGAGAGGGCACAGGCCUAGCCAUUAGAUACUAAAUUCAUUUCAGUGGAAAUUAAGCACCUAAUUGCUUCUGAAAAUCCCAUUAGGGACUUUAAAAAUGUGGCCCAGUGUCUUCGUGUUUCUGAACCUCUUUCUCUGUGAUGGCAAGAGACUUCAUGGCCUGACAGUUGCUAUUCAGGCCAAGCAAAUGUCAUUUUAAAAUGUUGAAUACAUGUUUCAAAACACUCUUAACAUUGAUUUUCUGUACCUCUGUUUGAAAACUGAGGCCCUUUUAAUAAGUCUUCCUGUCUGUCUUUUCUAGCUCCAAGCUGGGCUAUUAAUUAUACCCCAGACUGUACAGGAACCUACUUAAUUUUACACAUGCAUAUAGAAUCAAGUCUGAAAGUGUGGGAGAAUUUAAUUGCAUUAUACAACCGGUGGUGGCUGGGGGUCUUCUUGCACGUUUUCCAUUGGCUUCAACAAGUCCAAGGUGGACCCAAUGAGGCAUACAUGACUUUUGCAUUUGAGUCCAGUUUCACAGUGAUGUGUUAACAGACAUCUGUGUGCACAGUGCACUUCCUUGCCUCUUGCAACUUAUAACAGGGCAGUCCCCUUUAAGGGGAAGCAGACAGCCCCCUUGUAGCAGCCCAGGUGCCAGCAGUUAGCUAAGGAGGGGGUCUUCCAGCAGCGGUUAAACCCAGACGAGAGAGCAGUGAGGACACGCUUGGGAGAAGGAUUGGUUUGCAGCCAGGAGUUAGAGGGGAACCCAGAUUAGCUCUGGUCCCUUUCUGCUAGUGAGCUUAAGGGCCUUUCCUAUUGUCUGGAGAAGGGCUAUAUGUUUUGUACAAAUAAAGGAGCAAACAAGGACUGUGCUUGUGUUCA
rnacentral:lncRNA from 1 species